rnacentral:rRNA from 1 species
UACCUUAAAACUAGUCCGCUUUAAUAAAGCAAAUAAUUUACAGAAAUAACCCCUAAUACAACAAUUCAAUAAAAUAAAACAUUUUUCCCCCUUAGUAUGGGAGACAGAAAAGGAAUAAAGGAACCAUAGAGAAAGUACCGCAAGGGAAAGUUGAAAAAGAAAUGAAAAAACUCAGCUAAGUAAAAUAAAGCAGAGAUUAACUCUCGUACCUUUUGCAUCAUGAUUUAGCCAGUACUAUUUAAGCAAAGAGAACUUAAGUUUAAAACCCCGAAACCAAGUGAGCUACUCCAAGACAGCCUAUAUAUAGGGCUAACCCGUAUCUGUGGCAAUAGAGUGGGAAGAGCUUCGAGUAGAAGUGACAGACCAACCGAACUUGGUGAUAGCUGGUUGUUAGAAAAAUGAAUAGAAGUUCAGCCUGAUUUUAUUUUCCUGCCCAUUCGUACACCGCAUAAAGCCAAAGAUCAAGAAAUCAGAGUUAGUCAAAAGAGGUACAGCUCUUUUGACCUAAGAAACAACUUUACAAGGAGGUUAAAAAUCAAUUUAAAAAAGGCAUAUACCCCGGUGGGCCUAAUAGCAGCCACCCAAGAAGAAAGCGUUAAAGCUCAAGCAAUAAUCAGCCUUAUAUACCGAUAACUCUUUUUCAAACCCCUAAAAAUAUCUAACCUAUCCAUAAACAAUGGAAUAAAUUAUGCUAAUAUGAGUAAUAAGAGAGCCAGCCUCUCUCUUGACACAUGUGUAAAUCGGAACGAACACACACCGAAAUCUAACGCCCCCAAACCAAGAGGGCAGUGUAAAACAAAUAAAUAACAAGAAAACCCAUCAACAUGUUAGCGUUAACCCUACACUGGCGUGUCACCUAAGAAAGACUAAAAAAAGAAGAAGGAACUCGGCAAAUAAACUACGCCUCGCCUGUUUACCAAAAACAUCGCCUCUUGCACAAUUAAGUAUAAGAGGUCCCGCCUGCCCUGUGACUAUAAGUUUAACGGCCGCGGUAUUUUGACCGUGCGAAGGUAGCGCAAUCACUUGUCUUUUAAAUGAAGACUAGUAUGAAUGGCACGACGAGGGCUUAACUGUCUCCUUCUUUCAGUCAAUGAAAUUGAUCUGCCCGUGCAGAAGCGGGCAUAUGAGCAUAAGACGAGAAGACCCUAUGGAGCUUUUAGACGCACAGAAAGCUCACGUUAAAAAACCACAACUAAGUGACCAAACCAAAUGAAACCUGCCUGAAUGUCUUUGGUUGGGGCGACCACGGGGAAACAAAUAACCCCCAUGAGGAAUGAGAACAAACUCUUAUACUUAAGAAUAACCAUUCUAAAAAUCAGAAAAUCUGACCAAGUGAUCCGGCAAAGCCGAUCAACGAACCAAGUUACCCUAGGGAUAACAGCGCAAUCCCCUUUUAGAGUCCCUAUCAACAAGGGGGUUUACGACCUCGAUGUUGGAUCAGGACAUCCUAAUGGUGCAGCCGCUAUUAAGGGUUCGUUUGUUCAACGAUUAAAGUCCUACGUGAUCUGAGUUCAGACCGGAGUAAUCCAGGUCAGUUUCUAUCUAUGAAGUGAUCUUCUCUAGUACGAAAGGACCGAGAAGGAGAGGCCCAUUCUAACAGAAAGCCCCCCCCCCNUUACCUAUUGAAACCAUCUCAAAUAGACAAGAGGGCACCCCCCACACGUCAAAGAUUAAGACAUAU